AUGUCUUCCUCCUCCGCCUCCUUCCAGUUGCCGCUCAGCGGUGGAGUCCCGGAGAAGCUCUCCCGCACCAACUACGUUCUGUGGCGGACCCAGAUCACACCGCAGUUGCGGGGCGCCGACGUCUUCCACUACGUCGACGACACGGUGACUGAGCCGGCCAAGGACCUCACCAGCAAGGACGCCGCUGGCAAGGAGACCAUCGAGCCGAAUCCCCUUCAUCCACUUUGGGUGAAGAAGGACCAGCAGGUCCUCGGAUACCUGCUCCAAAACCUCUCCAAGGAGGUGCUCGUCACGGUGACCACGAUCACCACGGCGCGCGAGCUCUGGGUGGCACUAGCGAGCAUGUUCUCGUCACAGUCACUCAGUUGCGAAGAGAAAUCAAUCGGUGGCCUCCUUCUUCGCCGCCAUGAGAGGUCUCGCAGAUGA
rnacentral:rRNA from 1 species